GAUGAAGAACGCAGUGAAAUGCGAUAAGUAAUGUGAAUUGCAGAAUUCAGUGAAUCAUCGAAUCUUUGAACGCACAUUGCGCCCCUUGGUAUUCCGAGGGGCAUGCCUGUUCGAGCGUCAUUAUAACCCCUCAAGCUCGGCUUGGUGUUGGGGCCUGCCGCACGGGCAGCCCUUAAAAUCAGUGGCGGUGCCAUCUGGCUCUAAGCGUAGUAAUUCUUCUCGCUAUAGAGUCCCGGUGGAUGCUUGCCAUUAACCCCCAAUUUCAAUGGUUGACCUCGGAUCAGGUAGGGAUACCCGCUGAACUUAAGCAUAUCAAUAAGCGGAGGA
rnacentral:misc_RNA from 1 species